AAGGAAUGCAGAGCGCAAACUUUCAAUCUCCUGUGGGCUCACAUCCAUCUUAACUGAGUCUGCUUAAAAUUUGGCUGAAAUCUAAAAUGUUACAAAGGUUACUCAGCCGCCAAUGACGCCUGCAUUCGUGAGUGGAAGGGGAUGACAAUCCAUGAUGAUUAUUAGUAAAUGAUAUUGGUGCUUGCACAAAUGCAAGCUCACCUUAUUGCUUCGGCGGCGACGUUUCGGGGUUAGCACGUUGUUGUUCAUGCGAGGAGCCGUCAGGGGGAAGCUAAAUGUUUAAUUUUUCAUCACAGCUGAACAGGGGAUUUUAAACAACGGAACACGGCAACAUAUUUGCUACAGCGGUUGCGGCUGUUUCAGCCACAGGACACAUUCGAAGCCAGCGCGGCGCUUCGUGCGUGACAAUUUCAAUUUUCUGAAUGUCACGAAACGCCGAAGAUAAGGAUAUGCUUGUUGAAAUAAAUUGGGGUGAGGGAGACAAAAUUAAUGAAAUUACUUCUGUGAAUAAAGUUCAAAGACAUUGAUGGAUGCAUACAUAAUGAAAUUAGAUAAAUAAAUACGACUUUUGAUGUGAAAA